rnacentral:rRNA from 1 species
ACUUAAAGGAUUUGGCGGUAUUUUAGUCUAGUUAGAGGAACCUGUUCUAUGAACGAUAAGCCACGAAGAAUCUUACUCUUUUUAGUAAAUCAGUUUGUAUACCGUCAUUAUCAGAUAAUCUUUAUAAAGAGUUAUUAAAAUAAGUUUUUUAGUAUAUUAGAUCAAGGUGCAGCCAAUAGGAGAGCAAGAAAUGGGUUACAAUGUAAUUGAUAUAUACUGGGAGAGGGCUGAAAUGCUUUUUUGAAGGUGGAUUUAAUAGUAAUAAUCUUUUAAUAAGGGGUUAUGAUAGUAGCUCUAGGAUAUGU